rnacentral:rRNA from 1 species
AUUGAACGCUGGCGGCACGCCUAACACAUGUAAGUCGAGCGGCAGCGAGACUAGUAGCAAUACUAGUUGUCGGCGAGCGGCGGACGGGUGAGUAACACGUAGGAAUCUGCCCUUAAGCGGGGGAUAACCAAGGGAAACUUUGGCUAAUACCGCAUAAUCUCGAGAGAGCAAAGCUGCCCGCAAGGGUGGCACUUGAGGAGGAGCCUGCGUCUGAUUAGAUAGUUGGUGGAGUAAUGGCCUACCAAGGCGAUGAUCGGUAACUGGUCUGAGAGGACGACCAGUCACACUGGGACUGAGACACGGCCCAGAGUCCUACGGGAGGCAGCAGUGGGGAAGAUUGGACAAUGGGGGCAACCCUGAUCCAGCGAUGACGCGUGAGUGAAGAAGGCCUUCGGGUCGUAAAGCUCUUUAGGUUGGGAAGAAGGGUAUUGGCUGAAUAAUCCAGUACUUUGACGGUACCGACAGAAUAAGCACCGGCAAACUCUGUGCCAGCCGCCGCAGUAAGAC